GGGGGCAGGCUGACCGCGCCCCGCUGAGCGAUCAGAGCGAUCAGAUCGCUUUACACACCACCGGCCAUGGGGUGGCAGCAGAAGCGAGCGGUUUGUUCAUCUGCUUGCCUUUAAUUACCUCCGCCAGGAGGAUAUGUAAUUGUUACGGGGGUAGUGGGGACUGGGUUUAUUGUCUGUUUUGAUAUUUUUCUUUUUUGUAUUUGUUGCAUGUUUUGGGAUUUAUAUUGUUGGUGUUUUUGAUUAUCUUGCAUGUUUUCUUUAUUAUUAUAAGAAUUUUCUUUUGAGUUUCCCACUACCCGUAAACGCCUCUGAUGAGGCAAUAGGCUGCACCUGUUUGGGUUCUCCCUUCCUUCCACAGGAGCCAAUGGUAGCGGGGCUGGAGGCGCCGGCGGCUGGUGGAGAGAACUAUUUAGGAGUCAAUGGAGGACAACAAGAGAGAGUGUUCCGGGAUAAGCACUGCAGAGGGUGGCCCAGCGGAGAGGGACGACGCGGAGGAUAGAGGCAGACGGUGACGCCGAGAGAGAAAGCCGGAGAGGAAACCAUAGCGCUACGACGUGACAUACUCGCAGCGGCAGGGCAAUUAAGCUCUGCCUGGCGGGAGCCAAUGGUAGCGGGGCUGGAGGUGCCGGCAGCUGGUGGAGAGAACUAUUUAGGAGUCAAUGGAGGACAACAAGAGCGUUCCGGGAUAAGCACUGCAGAGGGUGGCCCAGCGGAGAGGGACGACGCGGAGGAUGGAGGCAGACGGUGACGCCGAGAGAGAAAGCCGGAGAGGAAACCAUAGCGCUACGACGUGACAUACUCGCAGCGGCAGGGCAAUUAAGCUCUGCCUGGCGGGUGAGUAUCCUUCGGGGACUCUGUAGUAGCGUUUUUGUGGGUGCACGUUAUCGUGAUUGUGGCUUUGAGAGAAAGAGACUUCCGUACUGGCAGUGGAUCUGUGUCUUCUAGGUGGUUUCCCCCCGGACACGAGCCAGGCUUAGGAGGAAGGUGGACGGAUCCCGUGACGGCCGAAUUGAGUGCCCCGCGUCCCACGGCCCCGAGACGAUUUGGCUGGUGGAUUUUAAUGAGGGAUUUUACUUUUUUUUUUUUUUUUUUAAGCGAAUAUUAACGAAGGACUGAGGUGACAUCGGAUUGUUUCCCCUGCUGGCUGUAGGCCCGAGGAGUGUAACGUAGGAGUUUAACCUGUAUUGUAUGAGAAGAAAUUCAUCUUGUAAUUAAAUGAUUGUUUGCCACCAGCAUCUGGUUUUCUCGCCCUCUGUGUAAUACUGUUGCUGACAAGGUGCUCCACCCGAUCAUUAAGAACCUAGUGCAAAACCUUAACAAUAUUAUUAAUCUGGUUAUUUCUCUCUUUUAAAUCAAAAAGCAACCCACUCGGCGGGUGACAUAAUCACCAGAGUUUGUCUGUGUGUGUUUGUCUGUUAACAGCAUAACUCAAAAAGUCAUGGACGGAUUUUUACAGGAUGUCCGGAAGAGCACGAGUAAAAAUAGAUUAGAUUUUGGAGGUGAUCCAAAUCACCGUCUGGAUCCAGGAAUGUUUUGAAGGUCGAAGGACAAUUGAGAGAUGGCCGCCGGCCAUCUCUCAAUUGUACAGACAGAGGUCGCUGCAACGAUCCCGGGCGACGGCCGAAUCCCCCGCGGCAGGUUCGGGCUUCCCAGGCGAGUCGGGACCGACGAAAGGCAGCGGCGACGCGUGCGGUACCGUCACACACGCGCACAACGGUACCGUCACGCGUGUGCGUCGCUGCGACGGCCGCUUCGGGCUGCCCGGGCAAGUCGGGACCGACAAAACGAAGCGACGGCGACGCGUACGGUACCGUCACACGUGUGCGCAACGGUACAUGCGUGCAAAACACUGUGCUGUUACACUGUGCAUGCAUGUUAUGCUUUCUGCACAAACUGUUGAAACUCAGUGCAAUCCGUCCAUGACUUUUUGAGUUAUGCUGUUAAGACAGACGGACAGAUGGCCUGGCGGAGGUAGGUGCUCUCCGAGUGCUUUUCUGGUUAAAACUUGCAUCCAAAAAAUAACACAGAUGUAGAGGUGCUGGCUUUAAUCUCUAAAAUGAGGCUUUACUCUUUUGUCAUUUAAUAAUGUAAAUAGAAAUGUUAGUUGACACAAGUGGCACUUUAGACUGAAAGCCUGCUGAUUUUCAUAUGUUCUGAAAUCUGAGGAAUUACUGUUUUUCUUUAUUUUCACUGUAAAUAUUUAAUGUUAGUUGACAGAAGCACUUUGGGCUCAAAGCCUAAGAUGUAGAUGUAUGAUAAGAUGUGGUUGUAUUUGUCACAUGCACAGUUAUACAUAGUAUAAUGCCUAAUGGUUCCAGUAUUUUAUUUUAUUUUUUUUACAGGCAAAGUGACAAGUUUUUAUUGCUUUGAUCGUAAAUAUGCAGAUUUGCUGAUUUCUCAUUGUCAUGUAAGGUUGUUAAUGUAAAAGUUAGCUCACAGAAGUACUGUCUGCUUUAAGCCUUAUAGUUAGGAUUUUUUUUUUUUUAACAAAAGGCCCAAUGUUUAUUGGUUUCACAGGUACGGAUUUGUUUUUGUUUGAGUAUGUAAAUAUGUUGUUCCAAAGAUUUUGCUGGACAGAAGAAGCACUUGGCACUCUUUGAAGCUGGAAAAAUUAAUUGUUUCUUUUUUUUUUUACUUUUGAAGUAAAAAAAUAGACUUGCAUAUUUAUACGUUCUUAAUUUGUUAAAUUAUAGAAAAGGCGAUUUUAAAGGUUUGUGUGUACCAAUUGCACCUUAUCUGGAGCAAAUCAUAUCAAACACUGGGGAGAUAAAUUCAAAUUCACUAGCUGGUAACAUUUACGUGCAUUUAAUUGUCUAUUUGACUCAGCAGUAGUGCUGAGGUGUACCCUUGUAGCACAUCAAAUGGCUAUGAACAUAAUUUACAUCAAUUCUUGUAUUCCGGUGUUGCCUACUCUAUUUGAUUUGGUAAAUUAAGUGCGCCCCCCCAAGAGAAAAAUUCACCAGCCGCCACUAUCUAUAUUUAUGUCUUGUGUGUUUUUAUUCUUAUUAGUCUGCCAAGGAACAGCGGAGAUAUGUGGCAAUUGGCGUUAGUUUGUCCGCCUGUCUGUCUGUUAGCAAAAUUACUCAAAAACGGACCAAGAGAUUUGGAUUAAAUUUUCAGGGAAGGUCAGAAAUGACACAAGGACCAAGUGAUUACAUUUGUCAGUGAUGCAACUUAUAGUCUGGAUCCACAGAUUUGUUAAAGAUUUCUGUAUUAUUGCAAGAUAGCAGCAUGGUGUCACUGACAACACUAAGUCAGCUGCCUGCUGAUGAUCACAUGAUUGUGAUCCUGCUACAAACUGACCGCAGCGGACCACAAAUUUUUCUAAGAUUUUAUCUGAGCAACCUUGGAGGAGCCCUGUGAUCUUGCUGUUAUUGUUGUUUCGGUCUGGUACAGUGCUCAAUACAUUUCACUGAGCGUUUUACUGUGUAUAAUUGUGUUUGUGACAAAUAAAGGUCUUGAAUCUUGA